GUUCGCAGUGGUCACUUUGAGCAUUACGGGAGGCUAUUUUAACCGAAAUUAUAAACAAAUCCACGUUAAAAUUUUUUGUUUGUUUUAAUUAUAAUGAAUUAAAUAAAAAUGGGUCACCAGAGUUGUUGUGUAGUGAAUUGUAAAAAUACUAGCAGAAAAAGUAAGUGUAAAUCGGUGGAUAGCUGCAAUUAAAAGGUUUAAUGAUCAUUUUAUUGGAGGUAAAAAAUCAGAUGAGGAGUUGAGUCCUAGCUACAUUCCAAUAAUAUUUCCUCCAAAUUACAGGUCUCGAAAAAUAAAUGAAUCUUCUGCCGUGAACAGAUACAAAUAGAAGCGUUUAUUGAAUCAGCGGAUGAAAAUAACAUCACCUUUAAAAUCAUGUUUUCUGCGCUAGGCCAAAGUUCUAAUUGGCAUACCUCCUGGAGGUUUUAUAUCCUUAAGAUCUGACGUAGCUGGAGGAUGGAAAUCAGAUUCUCAGCUUGCAAUAGAAACAGGGUUAUUGGAUUUAUUGGAAGCUGGUGACAUUGUUUUGGCUGACAAAGGUUUUCCAGAAAUUGACGCAAGUGGCAAGAAAGUGCAAAUGGUUAUGCCACCUUUUCUAGAGAAGAAAAAUGAAUUUUCAACUCAACAGACAUACAUUAUUGCAAGGGUUAGGAUUCACGUUAAAAGAAUUAUGCGGUUAAGGACUUAUCAUAUAUUGCAUAAAAUUCCACAACAUUUGUUCCACUGGAUUGACGAUAUUUUGCAUAUUUGUUGUGUUUUGGUAAAUUUACAGCCUCCAAUUAUUUCUUAUAAAAAAGAUUCUGAAAAUGAGGGAUGAAAACUAUUUUAUUACUCAUGAAAAUUGUUCAUUAAGUACUUGUGAUAAUACAAACGAUAAUUUGUAAGAAAUUUUAAAUUUAUUGUACGCUUUUAAUAAAAUUAAUAAUUAAACUUAUUGUAAUAAACAGUUAUAUUAUGUUGAUACUUGAUACUUUUGAUACUACAACUUGUUGAUAACUAACAAAUUAGUAACGGAUAAUAAAAUUCUUUUAAUAUACAUUAUUGUAACACACAAUAACACUUUUUAGUUUUUAGUCACUUGAUAAAUAUUGCUUUUUCAGUAACUAAUUAUAAAAAUACUGCAUUGACUUUUACACCACUAUACAUCAUAGAAAAUAAAUUAUUAUAUCAAAAUAUUUGCAAGAUCAUUUCCAGUAAAGCUUCGUUUAUCAGAUGUACUUUCAUCUUCUUUGUUACUAGUAUCUAAAUUAUCAGAGACUUUAUUAAAAAGAUGUCAAAGUUUCGUCGAUGUUCCUCAAUUUCUCUCACAUGUCCAGUAAGAACAAGAUUUUUACCCUUGUUCAUAGUUUCUGGUUGAAAUUUUAUUUGAUGGCUGAAAUCCUGUUUUUAUAAUAAUAUCCAUUUCUUUGGUUUAACUAAAAAUAAUGAAAAAACCAAUUAAUUAAGCAAAUAUUUCCAUAUCCCAUUGAAAAAACAGUUUAAAGCAACUUAACCUCAUAUAUGUUUACUGCAUUCUGUUAUAUAUUUUAUCAUUAUACAUACUUGUGUUUUUGGCUUCUCAAGAUAAUUAUAAAAUUGUAGUAAAUAUUAAAUUGUCACAUUUAUUUUUGACGACUAAUUCAUUACUAUUUAUCAUACUUUUUUUUCCAAAAUUUUUCUGUUUACUAUUGAAAAACGUAAUAAAACAUGCUCUGAUAGCCUUCCGUAGUUCAUAUUCACUGUGGCGCUGCAGUCACACUCGGAGCGAAUAACAAUGAUCAGUAAAGGAGAUCGGAGCUCAGAUCAAUGAAUCCAGGGAUCUCCUUGUGGAAAAGAGAUUGAGAGAAGCUGGCCUUUUUGGGAGGGUGGUAGUGAAGAAACCUCUUUUUAAUUAGACGCAUGAAGAGAAGGAGAAAGCUCUAUAGAGUGGCGAAUCAAAAUUGGAGGUUUACGAGUCUAAGAGAGGAGUAUUUCUACGUGAGUCAAAGGAAGAUCGGAUGCUAGAUGCAUGUGUAAUCCCGAUUGUAAAACACGGCGGAUACUCGGUGAUGGCAUGGAGACGCUUUGGAGGAAGGAAGACCGGAGGCUUGUAUGACAACGAUACCAAGCAAUCCUUCAAUCAAAUAGUAUUUGAAAGAACGGGAAAGGAAGAAUGUACUGAAAGUAAUGAUUUGGCCGUCACAUUUGCCCAACCUAAACACGAUUGCGUUAUUGUAGGACAGAUUGGACAGGGAAGUCAGCAAGCAGUGUUCUACUUUUGAAUCUUAUCUUUUGAAUAUCCAGAAAAAAAGAAUCGAAUAAAAUAGAGUAUUUUAUAUGUAGGUAUACUUUUACGAAAAUACAUGUUUAAAUGUCAGAAGGAAACUUGACGUAUUAUUUUUUUUUUUCAUUUACAUACAGAGGUCGUUAUAAGUCAGACAACGCUCAUAAGUCUCUUCCACGUACUUCACGUACCUCUGAUGCAAUCAGUAUGAUCCGCAGUUACAGCAUUUCAUUUUAUGGUAGGAUGAAACAACCUUCCAGCUGAACGGUACUGUCAAUCGGCAUAACUGUGUCGACAGAACGACCAGAAUCCCCACGUCUUCAUUGAAGAAGAAUUAAAUCCGCUCGCGUUGUGUUUGUGGGCAAGAAUGCAUGCGGUAGGUCUCGUGGGUUCGUACAAAAGUUAUUUGGAAAUGAUUGUAGAUGUAUGUGGGCAAAUGUACAACGAUCCAAUACUCGCAAACAUCCGUCAUUUGGAUGGAUAGGCAA